rnacentral:rRNA from 1 species
UACGUAGGGGGCAAGCGUUGUCCGGAUUUAUUGGGCGUAAAGAGCGUGUAGGCGGCCAUGUAGGUCCGUUGUGAAAACUCGAGGCUCAACCUCGAGACGUCGGCGGAAACCAUCUGGCUAGAGUCCGGAAGAGGAGAGUGGAAUUCCUGGUGUAGCGGUGAAAUGCGCAGAUAUCAGGAAGAACACCCGUGGCGAAGGCGGCUCUCUGGACGGUACUGACGCUGAGACGCGAAAGCGUGGGGAGCGAACAGG